rnacentral:pre_miRNA from 1 species
AAUAAGUUUAUUUUUUAGUUUUCGAUACAACAUAUGUCUCUUUGUUUUGUUUGGAAUUUGUUGUGACUAAUAUUUUUAUUACUGUUAAAUAAUAAAAUACGAAUGCUAUUUUACACGUGACUAAUUUUUUUAAGUUUUUCUAAAAAUUUUUAAAUAAAACGAAUAGUUAAACGUUGUCAAAAAUC